rnacentral:rRNA from 1 species
GCAGCGAUGCCGCGUGAGUGAAGAAGGCCCUUGGGUUGUAAAACUCUUUCGUCGGGGAAGAAAAUGACUGUACCCGAAUAAGAAGGUCCGGCUAACUUCGUGCCAGCAGCCGCGGUAAUACGAAGGGACCUAGCGUAGUUCGGAAUUACUGGGCUUAAAGAGUUCGUAGGUGGUUAAAAAAGUUGAUGGUGAAAUCCCAAGGCUCAACCUUGGAACUGCCAUCAAAACUUUUUAGCUAGAGUGUGAUAGAGGAAAGUGGAAUUUCUAGUGUAGAGGUGAAAUUCGUAGAUAUUAGAAAGAACAUCAAAAGCGAAGGCAACUUUCUGGAUCAUUACUGACACUGAGGAACGAAAGCAUGGGUAGCGAAGAGGAUUAGAUACCCUCGUAGUCCAUGCCGUAAACGAUGUGUGCUAGACGUUGGAAACUUAGUUUUCAGUGUCGCAGCGAAAGCAUUAAGCACACCGCCUGGGGAGUACGACCGCAAGGUUA